rnacentral:rRNA from 1 species
GGCCUCAAAUCAGGUAGGACUACCCGCUGAACUUAAGCAUAUCAAUAAGCGGAGGAAAAGAAACUAACAAGGAUUCCCCUAGUAACGGCGAGUGAAGCGGGAAGAGCUCAAAUUUGAAAUCUGGUGGACUUUGUUCAUCCGAGUUGUAAUCUAGAGAAGUGUUUUCCGUGCCGGCCAAUGUACAAGUCCCUUGGAACAGGGCGUCAUAGAGGGUGAGAAUCCCGUACUUGACAUUGAUCACC